rnacentral:rRNA from 1 species
AUUGAACGCUGGCGGCAUGCCUAACACAUGCAAGUCGAGCGGAGCGGCGGGCGGGUGUGUAAUGCCUAGGAAUCUGCCUGGUAGCGGGGGUUAACGUUCGGAAACGGGCGCUAUUACCGCAAUCUAUCAGAUGAGCCUAGGUCGGAGUAGCUUGGUGGGGGGGUAAAGGCCUACCAAGGCGACGAUCCGUAAGUGGUCUGGGAGGAGGAUCAGUCACACUGGAACUGAGACACGGACCAGACUCCUACGGGACGCAGCAGUGUGGAAUAUGGGGCAAUGGGCGAAAGCCUGGUCCAGCGAUGCCGCGUGUGUGAAGAAGGUCUUCGGAUUGUAAAGCCCGUUAAGUUGGGAGGCGGUACCAACAGAAUAAGCACCGGCUAACUUCGUGCCAGCAGCCGCGGUAAUUC